ACUCCAAAGCUCCACCAUGACCACCAUCGAGGUUAUAAAACUCCUUCAACCAUACUAAGCCAAUGUGCUGAUCUCUUUCCUAAACAUCUAGAAGAGGAGGUACAAAUGGUGUAGGUUUUGAAGGAGGUAGUGAUGGAUGAAAAUGGAGAAAAAUGAGAAGUAGAAAUCCUAGCUAGAAGAGGAGGAAAAAGAGAAAGAAAGAGUAAACCUUAGCUAGAAAAGAUGGAAAAAGGAAAGGAGUUUAAACCCU
rnacentral:lncRNA from 1 species